rnacentral:misc_RNA from 1 species
GUGAAUCAUCGAAUCUUUGAACGCAAAUUGCACUUUCUGGUAUUCCGGAAAGUAUGCCUGUUUGAGGGUCAGUUAAAUUAAAAUCGGUGUUUUUGCUACCCGUAGUGGUGUGGGAUGCAUCGGAAUUGAGUCGUUCUUUACCUUUGGUUUAAGUGGCUUAAAAUUAUGUUCGAUGUUUGAACGUAUGUAAAUGAUUACUUAUGUUCUUAAUAUCACAUGUUAUGUGCGGUUAUUCACAUGAUUUCGUGUAUAUACGUUGU